UCUAACUCCGUACUAACGCGCAAUAUACAGUGAGCUAGUUUAGCGUAUGAUCACUGGGAAUGCAUUUCAAGUUUAUGGUUCCAAAAAUGAAAAUUUCAACAUUGAAUUUUCCAAAACCACGAUAUAAUAAUUUCCUUGCAAUUGCCAACAAACAUCAGAGGUGCAAAAACAAGUGAACGUACAAGAUCUAACCAAGACCCAAUAAUAACCACAAAAACAAAAUUACCCACAUUAAUGCAAAUCUCCCCCUUUCUUCUAUACCACUUAUACCCAAAUCCAAUCCUUUUAUCCCCAGAAACCCAAAAAUAAGUAUUAAAACACAAAAACUAAAAGCAGAAAUACAAAAAUUCAUCAGUGCCUCCAUCUAGAGGAUUGUAACAUAUAUCCCCCAAACCCCAACCCAAAUAACAAGUACAUUAGAAAGAAAGGAGUACAUGUCAUGCAUAUAUACGUACAAAUUAAGCAAUUAAUUAGACCAACUUACUGAUACAAGAAAGUUGCACCAAAUAGUUGAUCCUUUCUUCAACACUGUGUAGAUGAUGAUGAUGGUGGUAGCUGAGUACUUGAUGAGAUGGAAGAGGAUCCGAGGUUCCUCUCAGCGCAAAUAGGAAUUUAUUCAACCUUGAAACUAAAACUAGUAGGCCGAUUUCUUGCAGCUGACAUGAUCUCUCCGAUCCAAGCUCCUCUCAUCUUUAAUUUGUUUAAUACCGAACUUUACCCUUUUUUAGGCCUUUUCUGAUAUGUCAAUCCCACUCCAUAAACUCCACUUCAAACAGAAGUAAUCAAGAAACGAAAACCUAAGCUGAAGAGACAAAGAUUAUUGAAAAGAAGAGAGAG
rnacentral:misc_RNA from 1 species